rnacentral:rRNA from 1 species
CAGUAGCCGCGGGAAUACGGAGGGUGCAAGCGUUAAUCGGAAUUACUGGGCGUAAAGCGCACGCAGGCGGUCUGACAAGUCAGAUGUGAAAUCCCCGGGCUUAACCUGGGAACUGCAUUUGAAACUGUCAGGCUGGAGUCUUGUAGAGGGGGGUGGAAUUCCAGGUGUAGCGGUGAAAUGCGUAGAGAUCUGGAGGAAUACCGGUGGCGAAGGCGGCCCCCUGGACAAAGACUGACGCUCAGGUGCGAAAGCGUGGGGAGCAAACAGGAUUAGAGACCCCUGUAGUCCCUGUCUCUUAUAC